rnacentral:lncRNA from 1 species
GUCACGGUACCCACCAUGGUGCUGGCGCCACGCGGGGCGGCCUGGACCGCGAAGGAAGGCGCCGGGGACUGCGAGCCGGAGGCAGGGCGGGAGCCGGAGCGCGAGCCCGCGCGUGAAGCAAGACUGGAUCACGCAGGCGCACGGGGAGCCGCGAAAACCUCGGCUGAAUUCAGGCUCAAAGGGAGCGGGGUAGGGCAGAGCCGAGAGGACCGCCAAACCGGUAGAGGGGCGGAACUUCCUGUCCCCCCCACUUCCUCCCGAGCAGCCGCUUUCUCACAAGCGCAUGCGUGGGCCGUGGCAGCUGCGCGUUGGACGUAGUUCGUCUCUUUUUCUGAUGGUUGUUGAGACUUUUCUCUCUGCCGCGUGAUUAGCUCGUAGUCUACGUUUUCUAUGGGGAAUUAUUGGGAAGAUUGAGAAAAUUAUGACUUGCGUAUUCUUUAGUAAAAUUUAAAAUGUUGCUAAGAGCUGGACAGCGUUCGUGCCCAACUGGAAUCCUGGAGUUGAGACGGGAGGAUUCUGGUUUAGAGGUCAACUAAAGCUAUUAUAGCAAGACCCUGUGUCAGAGAAUAAAAUAUACACCAAUACACACUGGUUAUGGUGUGUGUGAGUGUGAGAGAGAAACCGGAACACAAAUCCUGAUUCUUAUCAAAGGUUCCCAGUAAGUAAGUUUCUCUCAAUUUCAGUCUUUUGGGGUGCAAAGUUGACCCAGAGCGGACACAUUCUAAGCAAAGCAAAUGAACAACAUCCCAGCUCUAAUGUUAUAUAUAUAUAUAUAAUUUGGCAUAGGACUCGUCUGUAAAGGACUAAACUGACUGGAACUCAGUGACAGAAAUAUUUUACUUUAUCUUAGCUUUUUUUGUGUGUGUUUGACAGUUUUUGCCUGUAUGUUAUGUCUGUACUACAUGAGUUCCUGGUAGAAGAGAGGGCUUCAAAUGCCCUGGGCCUGGAGUUACAAUGGUGAGCCUCCUUGUGGGUGCUGGCAAUCAAAUCUGGGUGUUCUGGAAGAGCAACAGAUGCUUGUAACUGCUGAUCCAUCCCUGCAUUACUGAAAUAUUUUCAACUAGAUCACCGACAGAUACUACUUUGGAUGUUCUGGGAACAGCAUUACCAGGCUUGUAACAUGCUGGUUGUGAAGGAGUUCACAAGAGCUGACUGAUUUAAAAAAAAAACAAAAAACUAGAAAAGCCUCAGUAGGCAAGUUCCAGAGAAGAAAGAGAUGGUCUGAGAUGAAAGGGCUUUGUUGUUAUUUCGAUUGACUUGUUUUAUGUAAGUAUGCUGUGGCUUUCUUCAGACAUCCAGAAGAGGGCAUCAGAUCCCACUACAGAUGAUUGUGAGCCACUCUGUGCUUGCUGGAAAUUGAACUUAGGACCUCUGGAAGAGCAGUCAGUGCUCUUAACUGCUGAGCCAUCUCUCCAGCCCUAUUGUUUUUUUUUUUUUAAAUAAUUACAUUAAGUGGGAAGUUGCUAGGUUGUAUCUUCUGUGGAUAUCAUGUCUGGAUAAAUAGGGAAACACUUUCUAUUCUGUCUUCUCUUCUUGAGGCUGGCUGUAGGUGCAAGGCAGUCACGGGACACAGGUGAAAAUUCUGAGAGUCUAAACCUGCUGAUUGCAGGGUGGAAUUCUCUAGUGUAAUAAUCUAAAUAGAUUGUAGCCAGGGUUUCCUGGGGGUGGGAGUGAGGGCUGGAGCAUGCAUGACUGUGUAGGCCAGAGAUAGAUACUGCCUGUUCUUUCCACCUUAUUUAAUAUUUUAAAAUUGUAUAUGUGUGAGCGUUUUUCCUUGCAUGUCCAUCUGUGUACACAUGGGCAGUGCUCCCAGACACUAGAAGAGAGUGUUGGAUCCUCUAGAGUUACAGUUGUUAGCCACCACAUAGGUGCUGGGAAUCAAACCCUGGUCCUGUGGAAGAGCAACACGUGUUCUUAACCACUUAGUCAUUUCUCUCAUUUUCUGAGAUAGGAUCUACCAUAGAUCCUGGAGCUGACAGGUUCAUUCAGCUAGACUGACUUGCCAGCAAGACCCUAAGAUGCUUCUUCUGUCUGCCCUACCUACCCACUCCCCCAGUGCUGGCAUUACCGGUGCACAUCACUGUGUUCAGAGCUGGAUCCAGCAUGGUACCAAGCAGGAUUUGUUCCCAAGUUCAGCAGAAUCCUUAAGAUUUGAAUCGAAAACAAGCUGUCACUGGAUAGAAGCAGUCAGUACAUUUAGCAACUGCGUCCUUUGGGCCCAGGGUGCCUGAGAAUUAGGAAAUGUUUGUCUUGGCAGGUGGAGGUAUCGUGAUCAGAGUUCAAGGCAGACCUAGGCUAUAUUAGACCCUGUCUCAAAACCACAAAACAAAACAAAAAGCAAAAUGGUUUUGUUGGAAAUGAACUUACACAAAUUCAAGUACUUUGCCCUUAUCAAGUUAAACAUUCACAAGGGACCCACGAAUGGAAAAAUGCAUAUCUUCCUUUCUUAAUUUUCAAGGACCAUUGACAGCUUACAGAUACCAGGAAAUAAAAUGGUGUAUAGAAUGUUUUAGGCUAGCCUGGGCUCCAAGAAACUCUGCCGUGUGGGGCAGUGGUGGCACACGCCUUUAAUCCCAGCACUUGGGAGCCAGAGGCAGGGGGAUCUCUGAGUUCCAGGACAGCCAGGGCUACACAGAGAACUCCUGUCUCGAACCCCCCCCCCC